rnacentral:lncRNA from 1 species
GUGGACUGACGGGUAGCUUGUUAAAAUAUGUUGAUAUGAUAACCAGUAAAGCAAUACUUGAAAAAGCCACUAAUGUUAUCGCUAAUGUAUACAUACAGCUCAUGUUUAGGGAGGUGGCAUACUGGCAGUAAUGGGACUAUAUACUGGCAAGUCAUCUGUUCAGUUUCUUUGCAUAAUGCAUGAUCUCCUAGCAAUGAGUAUCGACUAAAGGAAUUACUUUGUGGAAUAGGGAAAUUAUUUAGCAGGCCACAUGAAAAUAGAGUUUUGGUCAACAGAGUAUCGACUAAAGGAACAAUUUGUGCAUGGCAAAACUUAAGUACAACAUCAGUUGCAGCGAUCAAUGGCAGCUAUUGGCACCUCCCUCGCGGUUGGUGACGACGCGCUGGCCCCCUCUGAUCCCGUCACCUACUUGAGGGUGGCAGCUUACUACAGGGCAGUGGCGCAGGAUCCAGAGCAGAAGAUGGGAGUUAUCCGACUUCCAACUCUGAUUUCACCCAACGGUGAUCAUUUGUUUGCAUAUUGUGACCAUCACUUUUGAUUAUCUGUUGUUUGUGAUCACCAAUGGAACUAAAUUGUUGUAGCUCUAGAUUGCGCUGGAGAGCACAACAUAAAUACAUAAUGAAAGGAUUGGUGAAGAAAGGAAGAAGGUUGGCAAUCGUUAUUGUGUUUGCAAACCGAAUUGUCGCUGUUGUUCCUUAAUUUUCAGGUUUUAUGAUGGCAGGUUUACAGCCCGGUGGAAUCGCUGAGAUCCAAGGAAGAGAGGAGCGGAGGGAGGCCAUUGUGCCAUAGUUCUCUGUCCCAAGUCCUGCAGCAUCUAGCCUCAGACAAUGGCAGCCCCAAUCCUUGUUGAUAGGUAAGCCCUGAUCCCAGCAAUGGUUGUGGGCCAGGAUGCAAAUAGGCAGUACGGCUUCCACCAUCUGGCUGGUACACUAGGAGGAAAAUGGAUGGCCAUGGCCCUGCUGCAAAACAGACUAAUGGUCUCUCGCUG